AACGAACGCUGGCGGCGCGCCUAAUACAUGCAAGUCGAGCGAGAAGACGUAGCAAUACGUUUGUAAAGCGGCGAACGGGUGAGGAAUACAUGGGUAACCUACCCUCGAGUGGGGAAUAACUAGCCGAAAGGUUAGCUAAUACCGCGUACGCUCCUUGGACUUCGGUUCAGGGAGGAAAGCGAUAUCGUGGGUAUCGCGCUCUUGGAUGGGCUCAUGUCCUAUCAGCUUGUUGGUGAGGUAACGGCUCACCAAGGCUUCGACGGGUAGCUGGUCUGAGAGGACGGUCAGCCACACUGGCACUGCGACACGGGCCAGACUCCUACGGGAGCAGCAGUAAGGAUAUUGCGCAAUGGGCGAAAGCCUGACGCAGCGACGCCGCGUGGGGGAUGAAGGUCUUCGGAUUGUAAACCCCUUUCGGGAGGGAAGAUGGAACGAGCAAUCGUUCGGACGGUACCUCCAGAAGCAGCCACGGCUAACUUCGU
rnacentral:rRNA from 1 species